AACGAACGCUGGCGGCAGGCCUAACACAUGCAAGUCGAGCGAGAACGCCCUUUCGGGGGUUAGUAGAGCGGCGGACGGGUUAGUAACGCGUGGGGACAUACACAACACUGGGGGAUAACUACUGGAAACGGUAGCUAAUACCGCAUACGCCCUACGGGGGAAAGAUUUAUCGGUGUUGGAUUGGCCCGCGUUAGAUUAGCUAGUUGGUGAGGUAAUGGCUCACCAAGGCAACGAUCUAUAGCUGGUUUUGAGGAGGAUGAUCAGACAACACGUGGGACUGAGACGACCGGCCCAGACCU
rnacentral:rRNA from 1 species